UAUUUUUUAACAUAAAAGUGUUUCUCAAUUCUGAUCGUGUUAUGUGAACGGAAGCUAUAUACUUUGAAACGCUUCAUGAAAUUGUAUACUGUAAUACCUACUAUUUAAAUUGAAUAGUAAAGAUUUCGGAGUAAAAGCGUUAGUGUCGUCAGCAGCAAUGAAAAAUCCGUUGUGGUUUAUCUUCUGGCUAUUGGUGUUUUUGAUUUUUUCAUUUUUAGUUGCCCAUAUUGGAUGUUUUUUUUAUGUCUGGACUUAUCUUUUUGAACUCUGCAUUCCGCCAUGUGAGCCCCUCAACGAUUUUCUUUUGAAGUGUAUCCAAUUUCCUCGCUAUACCUUUGAAGCCAUGCUGGAUUGUCAAUCGUUAUGUAGUUGAUACUAACAAUAUAUCCGAUCACCUUCUAUAUAUUCGUAUUCAUUUAUUCUCAAUUUUAAUUAUUACGUAUA